rnacentral:rRNA from 1 species
GACGAACGCUGGCGGCGCGCUUAACACAUGCAAGUCGAGCGAAGCGGCGGACGGGUGAGUAACACGUGAGUAACCUGCCUUAGACAUUGGGAUAGCCUCGGGCACCCGGGAUUAAUACCAAAUGGUCUAAGAUGGACUCGCGUCCCAUUAGCUAGUUGGUGAGUUAACGGCCACCCAAGGCGACGAUGGGUAGCCGGCCUGAGAGGGUGAACGGCAACAGUGGAACUGAGAAACGGGCAAAACUCUACGGGAGGCAGCAGUGGGGAAUAUUGCACAAUGGAGGGAACUCUGAUGCAGCGACGCCGCGUGAACGAAGAAGGCUUUCGAGUCGUAAAGUUCUUUUAUAUGGGAAGCGGUACCAUAAGAAAAAGCCCAGGCUAACUACGUGCCAGCAGCCGCGGUAAUAC